UACGGGGGGGGGUAAGCGUUGUUCGGAAUUACUGGGCGUAAAGGGCUCGUAGGCGGCCAACUAAGUCAGACGUGAAAUCCCUCAGCUUAACUGGGGAACUGCGUCUGAUACUGGAUGGCUUGGAUUUGGGAGAGGGAUGCGGAAUUCCAGGUGUAGCGGUGAAAUGCGUAGAUAUCUGGAGGAACACCGGUGGCGAAGGCGGCAUCCUGGACCAAUAUUGACGCUGAGGAGCGAAAGCCAGGGGAGCAAACGGGAUUAGAAACCUAGUAGCUCACGAAGCCAACGUCUC
rnacentral:rRNA from 1 species